CGGGGAACUGCAGUUCGUCGGGAUUUCGCGCAACGUCAGGGCCAGCGUCGAGGGCCACCGCCGGAAGGUCCCCGCCGACCUCUGCGCCUCUGUCAAGGUACCUGCGAAUCAUAGCACUACCAUGUUCCUAUGAGCUAUGAAGUAUGCAGUAUGCUCCCACGAUAAGUACAUGAUUAGAGUUUUCCCCAUUUAACCUCACCUUGGAACAGAGAGAUCGGUGUGUGCGCUUCUGAUAGUGUUAAGUUGGGGCUAUGAUGGAUUGCAUAUUGAUUUGGCUCCACUUCAAAGAGCUGUUUCAAUCCCGAGUACUUUGCUUGCCACAAGGAAAUGUACAUAUCUGUUUUCAUGCUUUUCAUGCUUCAUAGUUCGGUAAAAUCAGUAUGCUUGACUACUUGAUUUCUCUCCCAGUCCCUAAUAAUGGCUGAAUGUUGUAUCGCCAGCAUUGCCAUGGCAUGAUGCAUAUGUUACUAGAUUUAGGACAAAGCAUUUUUCAUUCGAUAUCCUUAGCCACUUCAUUUCCUCCCGUUCACGACGAGAUGGAACCCGAUUAUAUUUUUCAACAGGCAUCUGCAACUGCAAGCUCUUAAAAGGGAGACACGGCCUUCGUUGCUAUUGAUGAACUGCAAUACUUGCAGUGUAUUUGAUAUUGUACAUCGCUUACAUUGCAGUUUGUGUUAGGACAGUGCACGCAAUAUUUAUGUUUUCUGAUUACUUCUAUAUGAAUUCAGGUCAAAGGUUUAGCUAGCAGUUGUUCUUAUAACAGCACUUCUGAAUAUUGCCCUGGGUCCUUACAGACUUAAACACACCUGAUGCCUUAUCCCCUCC
rnacentral:lncRNA from 1 species